UACGAAGGGUGCAAGCGUUACUCGGAAUUACUGGGCGUAAAGCGUGCGCAGGCGGUUUGUUAAGUCUGAUGUGAAAGCCCCGGGCUCAACCUGGGAACUGCAUUUGAGACUGCUCUGCUCGGGUGCGGAAGAGGGAAGCGGAAUUUCCGGUGUAGCGGUGAAAUGCGUAGAUAUCGGAAGGAACACCAGUGGCGAAAGCGGCUUCCUGGUCCGACACCGACGUUCAGGCACGAAAGCGUGGGGAGCAAACAGG
rnacentral:rRNA from 1 species